UAAAAGAACGUGAUUCACCAUUGCUAUUUAAAAGCUUUCAAUCUGCAAUUAUUUGAAGUCACCUUUUCGUCUCUCUAAUACCAGUAUGGGGUAUUUGACCAAAGGAGUGAUGCUGCUGGCCUUUGUAUGCUUUUUUAUAAUGGGUCAUCCCGUUCGUGGAGAGUACGCUGAUGGCAAACCUACUUUCCAAAUACUGGGCCCACCGGGGAAGUAAUCUGCAAUUUAUGCAAGGAGUGGUUGUAGUUUCGGAGGAAAUGGGGACCGACCCUUAUCAAGAGAGAGGAUUUACAAUACUUCUCUCGUAUACCGUGGAUUAACAAUUGGCUUCCCUUAUAUUUUGUUUAAGACAUUGUACUGUGUAAUUAAAUAUUCAUUUGAGUCCCUUUU